rnacentral:rRNA from 1 species
ACUGCUCAGUAACACGUGGAUAACCUGCCCAAGGGUCCGGGAUAACCCCGGGAAACUGGGGAUAAUACCGGAUGGAUCACUAGUGCUGGAAUGCUUGGUGGUCGAAAGGUAACGCCUUUGGAUGGGUCUGCGGCGGAUUAGGUUGACGCCGGUGUAACGUACCGGCGUGCCUGUAAUCCGUACGGGUUGUGGGAGCAAGAGCCCGGAGACGGAUUCUGAGACACGAAUCCAGGCCCUACGGGGCGCAGCAGGCGCGAAAACUCUACAAUGCAGGCAACUGCGAUAGGGGGACAUCGAGUGGCAUCCACCUUGGGUGCCUGUCCAACCGUCCAAAAAACGGUUGUUAGCAAGGGCCGGGUAAGACCGGUGCCAGCCGCCGCGGUAAUACCGGCGGCUCGAGUGGUGGCCGAUAUUAUUGAGUCUAAAGGGUCCGUAGCCGGCUUUGCAAGUCCCCUGGGAAAUCCAGCGGCUUAACCGUUGGGCUUUCAUGGGAUACUACAUUGCUUGGGACUGGGAGAGGUAGUAGGUACUCGGGGGGUAGGGGUGAAAUCCUGUAAUCCUCCGGGGACCACCGGUGGCGAAGGCGUCCUACCAGAACAGGUCCGACGGUGAGGGACGAAAGCUAGGGGCACGAACCGGAUUAGAUACCCGGGUAGUCCUAGCCGUAAACGAUGCCCGCUAGGUGUCACGACGGCCGUGAAUCGUCGUGGUGCCGUAGGGAAGCCGCGAAGCGGGCCACUUGGGAAGUACGACCGCAAGGUUGAAACUUAAAGGAAUUGGCGGGGGAGCAC